rnacentral:tRNA from 2 species
GGCUGGAUCACCUCCUUUAAAGGGAGACCAACUAGAGCAACAGGAAAAAAGUAUUACUGUUGUAUCUAGAAUCCCUGGUCGAGCAAGGAAAAAUAGUAGGAAGUAACUUUCAAACUAGAGUUAUGGUUCAUCUAUGGGCUAUUAGCUCAGGUGGUUAGAGCGCACCCCUGAUAAGGGUGAGGUCCCUGGUUCAAGUCCAGGAUAGCCCACCUAAUCAAACCGGGGGGUAUAGCUCAGUUGGUAGAGCGCUGCCUUUGCAAGGCAGAAGUCAGCGGUUCGAGUCCGCUUACCUCCAGGAGAAAACUCAAGAAUUCAGCAAUCAGACCUGAAAAAAAUCAAGUCAGACUGCUGGGAAUCUACUUUCCAGUAAGAACCUAGAAAACUGCAUAGUCUAAAGAAGUAAAAAGUAACUGAAAAGGAGUUAGAUGAAAUCAAACAUCUAACAAAGUCCAGUCAGGUAGACUGAAAGUGGUCAAGUUAAUAAGGGCUGACGGUGGAUACCUAGGCAC